rnacentral:rRNA from 1 species
AAGCGCUUAUGACCAGACUUGUGCCGGGCUGAUCAUCCAGUGUUCUCACUGGUGCACUCUGCCCGGUUCAGGCCAGCAUCGGUUCUGGGGGGGGCAUAAAGGCGGCGGGAACGUGGCUCUUCCGGGAGUGUUAUAGCCCGUCGUGUAAUACCCCCACUGGGACCGAGGACCGCGCUCUGCAAGGAUGUUGGCGUAAUGGUCAUCAGCGA